rnacentral:rRNA from 1 species
AUACGUAGGUGGCGAGCGUUGUCCGGAUUUACUGGGUGUAAAGGGCGAGUAGGCGGGCUUGCAAGUCAGAUGUGAAAUACCGAGGCUCAACUUCGGGGCUGCAUUUGAAACUGCGAGUCUUGAGUGAUGGAGAGGCAGGCGGAAUUCCCAGUGUAGCGGUAAAAUGCAUAGAUAUUGGGAAGAACACCAGUGGCGAAGGCGGCCUGCUGGACAUUAACUGACGCUGAGGAGCGAAAGUGUGGGGAGCAAACAGGAUUAGAUACCCUGGUAGUCCACACCGUAAACGAUGGAUACUAGGUGUGCGGGGACUGACCCCCUGCGUGCCGCAGUUAACACAAUAAGUAUCCCACCUGGGGAGUACGAUCGCAAGAUUGAAACUCAAAGGAAUUGACGGGG